rnacentral:tRNA from 1 species
GAAAAUUUAGUUAAAUAUAUAACAUUAGUUUGUCAAACUAAAAUUAUUAACCCCAUUAGAUAAUUUUCU